rnacentral:rRNA from 1 species
UACGUAGGGGGGCGAGCGUUGUCCGGAUUUAUUGGGCGUAAAGAGCUCGUAGGCGGUUUGGCAAGUCGGGUGUGAAAACUCCGGCUCAACUCGGAGACGCCACUCGAUACUGCCAUGACUCGAGUCCGGUAGGGGAGUGGCGGAAUUCCUGGUGUAGCGGUGAAAUGCGCAGAUAUCAGGAGGAACACCGGUGGCGAAGGCGGCACUCUGGGCCGGUACUGACGCUGAGGAGCGAAAGCGUGGGGAGCGAACAGG